GACCAAGGCCCUGUGCGUAUGUAUACACAGCUGAAUGACCAGAGGUCUAUCCUGGCCACAUUCUUUUCUGGGGCUGAGGUGAAGCCGGCGGGCUGCUGCUGGUGCCAUCGACGGGUGCCAUAUCAGGAUUGUUCCUCCUGCAGAGCCUCAGAAAAGAAGCUACAUAAACAGGAAGCUGUUCCCAUCCAUUAUCCUCCAGGGAAUGUGUGAUGCCAAAGGCUCUUUCCUGGAUGUGUUCAUUGGACAGCCAGGGUCAGUGCAUGAUGCACUCGUCCUCCGAAGGUCACCCAUGUACAGCCAGGCCCUGUACCCACCCACUGGGUACUUCCUGCUGGGAGAUGGAGGGUACCCAUGCCUGCAGCGCCCUGUUGCCAUCAUGACCCCGUAUCGCCAGCCUGUAGCAAGGUCAAUGCUAAGACACAUACAAGGAGGAGCAAGUGGCCAAGAGGAGACGAUGAGCAACCAUCUACAAGCAGUUCAGGCACACAUCAACCCCAGCAAGCCAGCAGGCAGUUAUUUAAGCCCACUGAGAGGAUGAUUCUUUCCACCUGUUGCUGUAAACUCAGCUUGCACAGCAGUGCAGUUAUGUGCAUCCAGGUGGCUCCAGGGAAGCUCUCUAUUUGGAAUUUGGAGUCAGUGAAAACUGGAAUGCAUGCCAGGCCUGCAGACUGGCCUGUGAGGCCUUUGCAGGCCUGGGAGGUGAAAGAAAAUGGGAGGUGAAAGAACUCAAUUGUGGUGAAAGGAGGACUCCUACUGGAUGAAGUUGGUAAGUACCUCCUGACUCCAGCCCUGGUGUUGAGGACAGGUGAGUAGUUAACCUUUUUUUUUUUGUGGUGAAACAAUACACAAAGUCAAAGGCAAACAUAGAAGCAUACAUAGUUGUCAAAUAAAGAUUUUAUUGCAGCUCUAUUUAGGCAACAUUAUCAAACCAAACAAUUUCUCUUUCAAGUCAGGGUCUGUCUAGGCCCGAAGGCACCUUGGUCCUCAAUAUUUUGUUUCAUAACCUCUCCUGUUGUCUGUGCUGACCCUCUGUCCAUGGCUGUGGACCUGUGGAUUUGAGGACCCUUGAAACUGAUCAGGCUUUGUGCCCCUGAGGUUCCAGUUUUUUGUUUUUUCACAUUCAACCCAUCCCAUUCACUUUGCAUAGGGACAUGUCAUUUCAGUAGCUUUCAGGUCUAGGGAUGGGCUUUCGAUUAAAUUGUCUUAAUCGAUCGUCGGGAGAAUUAAUGAUCAAUUUUCAAUUAGUCAUUAAUAUUUUUAUAUUAAAAUUCACUAUUCAUAGGCUAUAUUCAAAAUGCAAUGAAAAUACAAAAACACGGCAUGUUUUCCUCAUUGAGAUCUUUAUUACAAGAUAAACAACUCUUGUGGCAGUUAAACAGGAUCUGUUCAGUGUUUACACUUGAAGAUAUGCGCUGCUGUGCUCUAAAGCAGCGGAGCCUGCAGCUAGCAGCCAGUGCUCAUAAACACAACUGACCCUUGUUUUUUUUUUUUUUUCAAAAACAACAACAAUAAUAAUAAUAAUAAUAAUAAUAAUAAUGAUAAUAAUAUUUUAAAAAACAUGUUAAACAAUGACUUAACCAAAAAUAUAUAAUAACUCAAAACUAUCAAAAAAGGCACCGAGUCGAGAAAGAGGGUCAGAGAGAUUAGCGUAGCUAACAAUAAAUUAAGCUUAUUAACAAAGCUUCAUAAAAAGUAACCAGUAACUUACAUACAACUUCAGCACCAGUCUACUGAUUUUUGUUGAGAAAGAUGAGCAUGUUAACAUGCUCUGGGGUCAGACGCAACCGCAGCCUGGUGACCGUCAGUCCAGCCGCCGAAAACACCCGCUCUGAGGGGACUAACAUUGCCGUGAUGCACAGGUACCUCCGUUCUAACUUGGCAAGCCUGGGGAAAAUUAUUUCAUUCACUUUCCACCAGUCUGUAGGGGUGCAAACCAGGGGUGGGGAACCCCCCCCCUUAGAAAGUUUCGAAGUUCUGCUUCGAUGCCAGACUUGCAUUGAGUGGUACUCCCCAAGGAGUUGUGUCAUAGCAGAGACCUACUGGGACUGAGAGGCCGCGACUCCAGUGUUUGCGUUCCCCUCGUCUGUGUCAGACAACGCAGGCUCCUCGUCUCCCACAGCCUGUGGGAUAGCCGCUCUACAGUGCAAAUCCGUAAUUUAUGGCUAACUGGAGUGUGUGUGCAAAGCAGGCAAUGGAAAUCCAGUUCACUCUGGUGGGACUGUUGGAAGCAGCAAUAUUGGCCGCGUUGUCAUGAACGCAUGCAAUAACUCGGUCUUCAAGUCCCCAUUGCUCUACAGCUUCAUUCAUUUUCUCAGUGAGGUGGUCAGCCUGGCAGGCUUUUUGUUAGCAGGACCGCUGAGUUCAUUUGAAAGUCAUCAGUGAUGUAGUGGCAGGCGAUGUGAUGUAGCUCUCAGCUUUUAAAGUGGUCCAGCAGUCAGUGGUAAGAGCAACUCUUUCAGCUGUGCUCAAUUCUUUUAACUGCUCUUGCUUCCAUUCUUCGAAGUGAGUUUCUAUCAGUCUGGUGAUGGUAUGUCGUGACGGAAUGUGAUAUGCUGGUUCCAAUAAGUUUAUCAGUUUUUGAAAACCUUUGCCCUCAACAGUAUUUAAGGGCAGCAUAUCCAUCUCAAUGAACUUGCAGAUCCUUUUGGUAAUUUUCUCUGCUUGUUGUGCAUCACAGCUCCUCCAUGUCCGGGCUAACACAGAGUUGAUGCUAGGUUGAGACUGAGACCAAGAUGCACCACCACUAACCAGGGUUGGAUGCGGGUUGUUCAAGUGGUACUUCAUUUGAGUCAUGGACGAGUUGUACUUAUACACAGCUUUGCAGUGUUGGCAGUGAACUUAGUCAUUUUUUCAAUCAAAAUGGUCCCAUGCCACACUUCGCCGUGACCUCUUCAUGAUUACUUUUGAAAUGCACGGAAACUCGCAGGUAACUGAGUAGUUCUGUGGUUGUGGAAAGGGAGGUAGAGGUGAGAAUGGGGCAGUAAGAGGGGGGAUGAAAGAGGUGGUGGGGGGCCGCA
ensembl:lncRNA